GAUGAACGCUGGCGGCGUGCCUAAUACAUGCAAGUCGAGCGAACGGACGAGAAGCUUGCUCCCCUGAGGUUAGCGGCGGACGGGUGAGUAACACGUGGAUAACCUACUUAUAAGACUGGGAUAACUUCGGGAAACCGGAGCUAAUACCGGAUAAUAUUUUGAACCGCAUGGUUCAAAAGUGAAAGACGGUCUUGCUGUCACUUAUAGAUGGAUCCGCGCUGCAUUAGCUAGUUGGUAAGGUAACGGCCUACCAAGGCAACGAUGCAUAGCCGACCUGAGAGGGUGAUCAGCCACACUGGAACUGAGACACGGUCCAGACUCCUACGGGAGGCAGCAGUAGGGAAUCUUCGGCAAUGGGCGAAAGCCUGACGGAGCCACGCCGCGUGAGUGAAGAAGGUCUUCGGGUUGUAAAACUCUGUUAUUAGGGAAGAACAGCAGUGGGAGUAACUGUGCACAUCUUGACGGUACCUAAUCAGAAAGCCACGGCUAACUACGUG
rnacentral:rRNA from 1 species